AACGCAGCGAAGGGCGAUAAGUAAUGCGAAUUGCAGAAUUCAGUGAAUCAUCGAAUCUUUGAACGCACAUUGCGCCCCCUGGCAUUCCGGGGGGCAUGCCCGUUCGAGCGUCAUUAAAUCCAAUCAAGCCUGGCUUGGUAUUGGGCGUCGGGGUCCCCCGCGCCUCAAUUUCACCGGCUGGCCGUCGCCCGUCUUAGCGUUGUGAUACACUUCUCGCUAGCGAUGGGACCGGACCACGCCGUCAGAGCUCACGAAUUUCAAUCGAAAUUCAUCAAGGUUGACCUCGGAUCGGGUAGGAAUACCCGCUGAACUUAA
rnacentral:rRNA from 1 species